AUAAACGUUAAAUACAGAUAGCAAGUACAUGGCGUAGUAUCGAACAAUAAGAUUAUUGAACUUCGCAUGCUUUUUAACGCUACAACUACAGAUAGUUAACACGAAGCUGUUUCCAAAACCAGUCAAAAUGGCUGGUCCUUAAAAAAUACGUAAUAAUGGAAUAUUUGUAUAUUUAUUGAUUUAUUACUUUCUUACAGAAGCACUUCCAUGUUAUGUAAUACAUUUUUGGUAUUAUUAAUGACACGUUUAUAAAAUUGUAGAAACAGUCGUUUUGAAUGGUGCGGAAUUUUUAGGGGUUGGCAUCUAGCGAUCUAGCGAUCGAUCCGGAAUUUUCCUGAUAACCGAUAUCAUCAUAUGGAAUGAUACGCGGUAAAAAUUUUGAAAACGUGCGGGAAGUUGUAGAAAACGAGGAAACUGGUUAAUUGGGGUUCGAUAAACAGAUUGCAGGAUCCUUUUACACUUUGAGAAGAACCGGUCAUUUUGACUGGUAUUGGUACAAUUAUCGUUGCGGAACUCGUUACAUCAUUGCGGAAAAAAAAUACAACACGAAGCAUGUAUAUGUAUAUUGAGAAUAAAAUUGUAAAACCAAUCGAUUCGACUGG